ACUCCUACGGGAGGCAGCAGUGGGGAAUAUUGCACAAUGGGGGAAACCCUGAUGCAGCCAUGCCGCGUGUGUGAAGAAGGCCUUCGGGUUGUAAAGCACUUUCAGUAGGGAGGAAGGUAGUGUAGUUAACACCUGCACUAUUUGACGUUACCUACAGAAGAAGCACCGGCUAACUCCGUGCCAGCAGCCGCGGUAAUACGGAGGGUGCGAGCGUUAAUCGGAAUUACUGGGCGUAAAGCGCAUGCAGGCGGCCUGUUAAGUCAGAUGUGAAAGCCCGGGGCUUAACCUCGGAAUUGCAUUUGAAACUGGCAGGCUAGAGUCUUGUAGAGGGGGGUAGAAUUUCAGGUGUAGCGGUGAAAUGCGUAGAGAUCUGAAGGAAUACCAGUGGCGAAGGCGGCCCCCUGGACAAAGACUGACGCUCAGAUGCGAAAGCGUGGGGAGCAAAACAGGAUUAGAUACCCUGGUAGGAUAGCG
rnacentral:rRNA from 1 species